rnacentral:rRNA from 1 species
CCUACGGGGCGCUGCAGUGGGGGAUAUUGCACAAUGGGGGGAACCCUGAUGCAGCGACGCCGCGUGGGUGAAGAAGCGCCUCGGCGCGUAAAGCCCUGUCAGCAGGGAAGAAAAUGACGGUACCUGAAGAAGAAGCCCCGGCUAACUACGUGCCAGCAGCCGCGGGAAUACGUAGGGGGCAAGCGUUAUCCGGAUUUACUGGGUGUAAAGGGGGCGCAGACGGCGAUGCAAGCCAGGAGUGAAAGCCCGGGGCCCAACCCCGGGACUGCUCUUGGAACUGCGUGGCUGGAGUGCAGGAGGGGCAGGCGGAAUUCCUGGUGUAGCGGUGAAAUGCGUAGAUAUCAGGAGGAACACCGGUGGCGAAGGCGGCCUGCUGGACUGCAACUGACGUUGAGGCCCGAAAGCGUGGGGAGCAAACAGGAUUAGAUACCCUGGUAGUC